GAAGAUAAGAUUUCCCAAACGAUUAAGUUUUAAAUUUCUUAGUAUCGAAACCCUAGCAAAUUGGUUCGUCUCUUUCGAACUCUCUAGUCACUUUAGUAUCGCCGAUUUCCAUAAGAUCCGAUCUCUCGGUUGAGAAAAAUGGGACGUCCUCGUCACCCUCAUUGUCAUCCCCAUCGUCAUCCAAGGGGAUCCCCGCCGAGCUUAGUCUUCGAAGCGACCAAUUCCCGUGGGAGAUGUUUGACUACACGAAUCAGGAAGACAAGCCGAAGAAAGAGAGUGCUCACGUACGAGCGAUGGUGGAAGCGUCUGUAGACGGGGUGUGGAAGGAGCUCUACUCUUUAUUCCCGCCGAAAGUGGGAGAGUCAUCAACUGAUCAACCAAAGGAAGGAUAUACAGAGAGGGACGACGAACUACUUGUUAAGCGGUUGUGCGACUUCAUGAAAGGAGGUGAUUGCAAAGAAUCAUUUAAGGCUUUGGAAGAUUGCGCGAAGGAAACUGGUGGUCUUGUUAAGUGUAUAAGAUAAAGUGUGUAGAUGCCCACUCUAAUUACUAUAAGCCUGUUAUCACGCUGGCUGAAUCUUCGAUGGAACAGUUGGCCAAGGACUU